rnacentral:rRNA from 1 species
UACGUAGGGGGCAAGCGUUAUCCGGAUUUACUGGGUGUAAAGGGGGCGUAGACGGCUUUGCAAGCCAGAUGUGAAAGCCCGGGGCUCAACCCCGGGACUGCAUUUGGAACUGUAUGGCUGGAGUGUCGGAGAGGCAGGCGGAAUUCCUAGUGUAGCGGUGAAAUGCGUAGAUAUUAGGAGGAACACCAGUGGCGAAGGCGGCCUGCUGGACGAUGACUGACGUUGAGGCUCGAAAGCGUGGGGAGCAAACAGG